rnacentral:RNase_P_RNA from 1 species
CCGGAAGGGCGGAGGGCCGCUCUUGGUUCAUUCCAAGGGAGGAAAGUCCGAACUCCACAGGGCGCGAUGCCAUGCAACCCCGGGAAGACCGGGGAUACGCAUGGGAGACGGGGCCGCGAGGCCCCUCGACGGACAGUGCCACAGAGAACAUACCGCCGAACUCCGGUCUUCGGGCCGGGGUGGCAAGGGUGAAAAGGUGGGGUAAGAGCCCACCGCGCCGAGCGCAAGCGGAGCGGCACGGAAAACCCCGUCGGGAGCAAGGCCAAAUAGGGGGCCCUGGAGCGGCCCGCUCCGGUUCCGCGCGAGCGGACGGGUCCCGGGUAUGGCCGCUAAGAGAAAUGGUCCUCUCCCCGCGGUGACGCGGGCAGACAGAAUUCGGCUUACAGCCCUUCCGGAACC